GAUGAACGCUGGCGGCGUGCCUAAUACAUGCAAGUCGAGCGAACAGACGAGGAGCUUGCUCCUCUGACGUUAGCGGCGGACGGGUGAGUAACACGUGGAUAACCUACCUAUAAGACUGGGAUAACUUCGGGAAACCGGAGCUAAUACCGGAUAAUAUAUUGAACCGCAUGGUUCAAUAGUGAAAGACGGUUUUGCUGUCACUUAUAGAUGGAUCCGCGCCGCAUUAGCUAGUUGGUAAGGUAACGGCUUACCAAGGCGACGAUGCGUAGCCGACCUGAGAGGGGUGUGCGGCCACACGGAAAGUAGAACAGGGUCCGAACACCCAGGGGGGGCAGGAGAGGGGAAUCUUCCGAAAGGGGGGAAAGCCUGAGGGAGCAACCCCGCGGGGGGGAUAAAGGGUUUCGGAUCGUAAAACCCUGUUAUUAGGGAAAAAAAAAUGGGUAAGUAACUUUGCACGUUUUGACGGUACCAAAGCAAAAAGCCACGGCUAACUACGU
rnacentral:rRNA from 1 species